UACGGAGGGUGCAAGCGUUAUCCGGAUUCACUGGGUUUAAAGGGUGCGUAGGUGGGCAGGUAAGUCCGUGGUGAAAUCCUAUAGCUUAACUAUAGAACUGCCAUGGAUACUAUUUGUCUUGAAUGUCGUAGAGGUAAGCGGAAUAUGUCAUGUAGCGGUGAAAUGCUUAGAGAUGACAGAGAACACCAAUUGCGAAGGCAGCUUACUAUGCGAUGAUUGACACUGAGGCACGAAAGAGUGGUUAGCAAACAGG
rnacentral:rRNA from 1 species